rnacentral:rRNA from 1 species
AUGACGAUGGAGACCAUAGCGGGGACUCACUUCUUGAUCUUCACCUCCCUACUUGAGGUCCUGCAAAAGCGUGCUCAAGGGCAUGUUCACCUAUUUGUGGAAGAGACGGAUAAGGAGUUGGAGCUCCGUUUUUUGGCUCAGCUCACACAGACGCACGCUUCCCUUGCGGCUCCCCCCUCCGCCUCGGAUGUCCACUUCCUAUUUGACUACGGCAUAGGUUACUUUCUUGGAAGAUCAGUUCCACUUGAUGAAUGGAAAAUUAGUUUACUCCUCGUCCGCAGCAAAGCCCUCUCCUUCAGGAGCAGACGCAUCGACCAUUUCUGCCUCGAAUACUUGGAGCACAAGGUCGAGGAGCAUCCCCAACGCACCAACGUCUGUGCCAUCCUUCGCAGCCACGGCAUCAACCUCCACGACGAUGGAGACCAUAGAUCCUCUCAAUGGGACCCAAGAAUGCCAGUGAGUCACUUUGGCAAGGAUCCUGGUGUGUCGCACAGUCACACCAAGUCGUAUGUGCGCUCCAAGGAAAGGAAGUUUGAGAAGGCUUGUGGUAGGAGGAACAGGGGUGGCUUCAAGAUCCUCUUGAGGGGACCCAAGAAUGCUCGUGAGGCGGUGAGGCACUUUGGCAAGGCUCCUGGCGUGCCGCACAAACCACAUCAAGAUCUGCAGAUCCAUGGCCCGCUGGAGCUGCCCAUCUUCAGCAACUUGCCGCCACAUACAGCCCCCGCCCCCGCGUCGGCUACGUUGACUUCCACAAGGUGGUUGAGAUGCAGCCCAAUAUGUCUUCACCUUGAACCACGAGCAACACCGCAGAUUGGGUGCUCUUUGCUACCAGCUGGUGAAAGGAAAAGCUGCUCCGACUGGCGAGGAUGCCCACAAAGGUGGCCUCUUCCGACGACUUUUGCCCUGUUCCUCUGGUGGCCUCGAUUAUUCUUCCUCCCCGGCAUAGGUGCUGCAGAUCCACGGCCCGCAAGAGCCGCCCAUCUUUGGCAACUCGCCGCCAUCUACAGCUUCCCCCGCUGCUGCGUUGACUUACACAAGGUGCGGCACCGCAGGUUUUGUGCUAUUUGCUACCAUCUGGUGAAAGGAAAAGCCGCUCCGAUCUGUGAGGAUGCCCACCAAGGUGGCCUCUCUUGA